rnacentral:rRNA from 1 species
UUGACCUCGGAUCAGGUAGGGAUACCCGCUGAACUUAAGCAUAUCAAUAAGCGGAGGAAAAGAAACCAACAGGGAUUGCCUCAGUAACGGCGAGUGAAGCGGCAAGAGCUCAAAUUUGAAAGCUGGCUCCUUCGGGGUCCGCAUUGUAAUUUGCAGAGGAUGCUUCGGGAGCGGCCCCCAUCUAAGUGCCCUGGAACGGGCCGUCAUAGAGGGUGAGAAUCCCGUCUGGGAUGGGGUGCCCGCGCCCGUGUGAAGCUCCUUCGACGAGUCGAGUUGUUUGGGAAUGCAGCUCUAAAUGGGUGGUAAAUUUCAUCUAAAGCUAAAUACUGGCCGGAGACCGAUAGCGCACAAGUAGAGUGAUCGAAAGAUGAAAAGCACUUUGAAAAGAGAGUUAAACAGCACGUGAAAUUGUUGAAAGGGAAGCGCUUGCGACCAGACUCGCCCGCGGGGUUCAGCCGGCAUUCGUGCCGGUGUACUUCCCCGCGGGCGGGCCAGCGUCGGUUUGGGCGGCCGGUCAAAGGCCCUCGGAAUGUAACGCCCCCCGGGGCGCCUUAUAGCCGAGGGUGCCAUGCGGCCAGCCCAGACCGAGGAACGCGCUUCGGCUCGGACGCUGGCAUAAUGGUCGUAAGCGACC